rnacentral:rRNA from 1 species
UACGUAGGGGGCAAGCGUUGUCCGGAAUUAUUGGGCGUAAAGAGCGUGUAGGCGGCUCGAUAAGUCUGCUGUGAAAGUCCAGGGCUCAACCCUGGGAUGCCGGUGGAUACUGUCGAGCUCGAGUCCGGAAGAGGCGAGUGGAAUUCCUGGUGUAGCGGUGAAAUGCGCAGAUAUCAGGAGGAACACCAAUGGCGAAGGCAGCUCGCUGGGACGUGACUGACGCUGAGACGCGAAAGCGUGGGGAGCAAACAGG